rnacentral:tRNA from 2 species
UCCGCUCUGGUGUAACGGCAGCACCCCGGCCUUUGGAGCCGCGGAGUAUAGGUUCGAAUCCUAUGGGCGGAA